rnacentral:lncRNA from 1 species
CACCGUCCAGCUCUCCAUAAGAAACACAAUGUUCCAUUUCAUAUAUUACUUCCAACCAUCAAAACAAAAGCACAAGAAGAAAAAGGGUUCAAGCUCCCAACAACCAUGCAUCAACUCAAGUCUUUUUCAUUACUAAACUCAACAAGAACUCCAUUUUCAUCAUCCAACCAAGAAAACCAAAAGGGAAUACGAAAUUACUGCAGCCAAGGAAGAGAAAAACGAAAUACAAAAUGGGUCUUCAUUCAACCAAAGAAAACACCAUGAAAAUGCAAAGAACCACCUCCAAGCUCAAGCUUCCAACAUUCAAAUGGAAAAUGCAAGAAGAGAAAUGAUAGAUCUCCAUUCCAUUAAGCAAGAACAAGCAUUGUUGCAAGCAAGAGAAGAACAAAAACGUGAUCUUGUUCAUUCAUAGCUAAAAACCGAAAAUGGCACACCAAGGCUCCAAGAGAGAGUUCAUACAAGGCAA